UACGUAGGGUGCAAGCGUUAAUCGGAAUUACUGGGCGUAAAGCGUGCGCAGGCGGUUGUGUAAGACAGAUGUGAAAUCCCCGGGCUCAACCUGGGAACUGCAUUUGUGACUGCACGGCUCGAGUGCGGCAGAGGGGGAUGGAAUUCCGCGUGUAGCAGUGAAAUGCGUAGAUAUGCGGAGGAACACCGAUGGCGAAGGCAAUCCCCUGGGCCUGCACUGACGCUCAUGCACGAAAGCGUGGGGAGCAAAUAGG
rnacentral:rRNA from 1 species